UCACUAUGAACUGGUGACUAUGAUGAAGUGAUGUGACAUUUUUAUUGUCCCCGGUGGUGGCAAUUUUGAGUUUGUUAGUUCACUGACUUCAUUCAAUAUAUUGAGCACAUGCUGUGUGUGUGAAUCAUAUAUAUUCAACCUUCGAAGGAACAGUGAGUUCUAGUCACUGUUAUAGGCCCUGAGGAUAUAGAGAUGCAGAGACAUGGUGCCUCCCCCAAGACCUAGUAGAGGGACAGGACAAGAACAAAUUCCUUCAUUUUACAAGGGAUGGAAUGACUGUACGUUUCGCUUGACUGACUUGCCUAACUCACCAAGCUAGUCACCUCAUUGUCCAAGAUGGCUGCUGGAACAAAAUCACAUCUGCAUUCCAGGCUGGCAGCAGGAAGAAACAGGACAGCAAAAAAGGGCUCAUGUUUUCUGCUUUCUACUUACCUGUCAUGACCCAGAUCUUUUAAACAUUACCAUAUUCAGCUGUAAGAAGGCUAGGACAUGCAGUCUUUUAGCUGGGUUCAUCGCUAUCUCAAAUAAUAUCAGGGUUCUUUUACAACGAAAGUAGAAAGAAAUGUUUAUUGGGUGACAUUCGGCAAUCUCUGUCACAGAGGUCUAGAUUCCUGCCUUCUCUUCCCAGAAAUGCUGUUAUCCAGAUUUUUUUUUAAAACCUUUUCCUUUUACUAUUAGAUUUUCUGGGAAUGAGAAGGAUACUACUUUUUUAUUUAGAGGUCUCUUACUUGGCAACCCCAAGUUUUCAUAACACAGUCUGAGAACUGAGAAUAGAAUAAAUGAGUCUAUACUAUACUGGAGCCUCUUCACUGCUUUUCCAUUUAUUUGCAUAUUUCACUCCAAUCCUCCCUACACAGUGUGGCAAGAUUAAGUUUUCUGAAGCAUUUUUCACAUCAUGCUAUUUCAUUUGUCAAGAAUAUUAAUUAAUCCCUCAUAGCCUACUGAACAUUCACAAAUGUCCACCAAGCAUUCAAAGUGCUCUUGCAUUUUUACCAAAAGCAACAUUUCCAAGCAUACUUCCCAUACCAUAUGCUUUAGCCAAAUGGGACCUAACCCCUUUGGGAAAUCUAACCCCUGUGUUUUUAUUCAAGUUGCUUUACUUUUUAGAAUUCUAGCUGUGCACCUACAUGGGCCAGUGAAACCUACAGAGGAUACAAGGAUUUCUUGAGUUCCAGUCACCUCUCAACACUAUCCUUUGAUGAGACAUCCUAAGACUCAACUCUUUAAAUAUUACAUUACACAUUUUAUGCUUAAAGGGCAUGUUGUGAACAUAAGGAAUAGCAAGAAGGACAUUAGGAAGGGAAAAACGAAGGGGGGGAACCGGAGGGGGAGACGAACCA